GGCCCACGCCCAGCCUGUGGUUCCUGAGAAGAAGUUGCCCAUGUUAUUUUCGCUGUAUGUGUGACGAAACAAACAUGGUGCACUUCUUUUCCGGCAUCAGAUCUCGCCUGGAAGGGCG
rnacentral:pre_miRNA from 14 species